GCUUGAUAAAGCUUGCUAGCAGCUGCAGCAAAGCCAGCAUACAGCCUGAAAGCACAUUUUAGGGGCCAGAUUAUCUUGGUUGCUACUUGAGAAGACAAGCCAAUGCCAGCAUCAGAAAGAAGAGACAGCAGUUUCUACGUCCCUGCCUCUCGUGUGAUCCCUGCAGCCAUGGCUUGAAAAAGAGCAUCAGAACACAGUGCAUGAACUCUUAGAGUCAUACAGCCACAUAAGCACUGCAGUUAACACUUUGGAAUAAUGAUUGCCUUCCAGCCUGAGCAUGACCCAUUGGAACAAACAAAAUUUAGAAAAUCAGCAUAGGCAGCUGAAGGUGAAAACUGCAACCAUAGAAGCGAGAGAGAAUGAAAAGGCAUUUCGUAUCACCUCCUAUGCUUAAAUUUAUGCAGCACCAGUAGCAUAGUAGAGCACUUGAAGGCUAUAAAUGCAACAAACCCAUGUGCAUCCUCUCCCCAUCCCCACCUUCUGUAAAAAGGGAGAACAGUAGAGGAGCAAAGCAUUGUGGACAAAUCCAGAAAUACACUGCUGAACUCAAGAAACCUCUUGGUGGAGAAACAUGAAUCUUUCAGGUCAGUAACCAAGGCUGCAAAUAUCAUUUCAGAGCUGUGAUAUAUUGUACAGCAGCAUGUUAAAAUUACUGUUGUGAGCACUCAAAGUACAGUAGCUCUAC